rnacentral:ncRNA from 1 species
CACCGCGAGGUGGAGUCUGAAGGAAGCUGGACGCAUAUUUCCAGUCUGACGAACAUAAAUCCUAUCCAAGGCAUCACAAGCUGGACGAGCUUGCCGAACAGGGCGAAGGUGAAUACUGCACUGGGCGUUGAAUGUAAAUGUGGCGGAGGGAUGGGAUGGAAGUGG